rnacentral:rRNA from 1 species
GACAGAGGGGGCAAGCGUUGCUCGGAAUUACUGGGCGUAAAGGGCGCGUAGGCGGGAUGGCAAGUCGGUCGUGAAAUCCUUCGGCUCAACCGAAGAACGUCGAUCGAUACUGCUGUUCUUGAGGGUUGCAGAGGAGACUGGAAUUCCCGGUGUAGCGGUGAAAUGUGUAGAGAUCGGGAGGAACACCGGUGGCGAAGGCGGGUCUCUGGGCAAUUCCUGACGCUGAGGCGCGAAAGCAUGGGGAGCGAACAGG